UGGGGAAUAUUGCACAAUGGGCGCAAGCCUGAUGCAGCCAUGCCGCGUGUAUGAAGAAGGCCUUCGGGUUGUAAAGUACUUUCAGCGGGGAGGAAGGUGUUGAGGUUAAUAACCUCAGCAAUUGACGUUACCCGCAGAAGAAGCACCGGCUAACUCCGUGCCAGCAGCCGCGGUAAUACGGAGGGUGCAAGCGUUAAUCGGAAUUACUGGGCGUAAAGCGCACGCAGGCGGUCUGUCAAGUCGGAUGUGAAAUCCCCGGGCUCAACCUGGGAACUGCAUUCGAAACUGGCAGGCUAGAGUCUUGUAGAGGGGGGUAGAAUUCCAGGUGUAGCGGUGAAAUGCGUAGAGAUCUGGAGGAAUACCGGUGGCGAAGGCGGCCCCCUGGACAAAGACUGACGCUCAGGUGCGAAAGCGUGCGGAGCAAACA
rnacentral:rRNA from 1 species